AUUCCAGCUCCAAUAGCGUAUAUUAAAGUUGUUGCAGUUAAAACGCUCGUAGUCGGAUUUCGGGGCGGGCCGACCGGUCUGCCGAUGGGUAUGCACUGGCCGGCGCGUCCUUCCACCCGGAGACCGCGCCUACUCUUAACUGAGCGGGCGCGGGAGACGGGUCUUUUACUUUGAAAAAAUCAGAGUGUUUCAAGCAGGCAGUCGCUCUUGCAUGGAUUAGCAUGGGAUAAUGAAAUAGGACUCUGGUGCUAUUUUGUUGGUUUCGAACACCGGAGUAAUGAUUAAUAGGGACAGUUGGGGGCAUUCAUAUUCCAUUGUCAGAGGUGAAAUUCUUGGAUUAACGGAAGAUGAACUUCUGCGGAAGCAUCUGCCCAGGAUGUUUUCAUCA
rnacentral:rRNA from 1 species